rnacentral:rRNA from 1 species
GACGAACGCUGGCGGCGUGCCUAACACAUGCAAGUCGAACGGAAAGUUAGCAAUAACUUUUAGUGGCGAACGGGUGAGUAACGCGUGGGCAACCUGCCCUUCAGACGGGGACAACAUUCCGAAAGGAGUGCUAAUACCGGAUACGACCUUUAGACCGCAUGGUUUAGAGAAGAAAGGUGGCCUCUAUUUAUACGCUAUCGCAGAAGGAUGGGCCUGCGUUUGAUUAGCUCGUUGGUGGGGUAACGGCCUACCAAGGCGAUGAUCAGUAGCCGGUCUGAGAGGAUGAACGGCCACAUUGGGACUGAGACACGGCCCAAACUCCUACGGGAGGCAGCAGUGGGGAAUAUUCCGCAAUGGACGAAAGUCUGACGGAGCAACGCCGCGUGAGUGAUGAAGGUUUUCGGGCUGUAAAACUCUGUUGUUUAGGACGAAAGUGCCUGUUGCAAAUAGUUGCAGGUAUUGACGGUACUGAACGAGGUAGCCACGGCUAACUACGUGCCAGCAGCCGCAGUAA